ACAUCCAGAGAAUUUAGCAGAGAUGCUUUAGUGCCUUCGGGAACUCUGGAGACAGGUGCUGCAUGGCUGUCGUCAGCUCGUGUUGUGAAAUGUUGGGUUAAGUCCCGNAACGAGCGCAACCCUUAUCCUUUGUUGCCAGCACGUAAUGGUGGGAACUCAAAGGAGACUGCCGGUGAUAAACCGGUGGAAGGUGGGGAUGACGUCAAGUCAUCAUGGCCCUUACGAGUAGGGCUACACACGUGCUACAAUGGCGCAUACAAAGAGAAGCGACCUCGCGAGAGCAAGCGGACCUCAUAAAGUGCGUCGUAGUCCGGAUUGGAGUCUGCAACUCGACUCCAUGAAGUCGGAAUCGCUAGUAAUCGUAAAUCAGAAUGUUACGGUGAAUACGUUCCCGGGCCUUGUACACACCGCCCGUCACACCAUGGGAGUGGGUUGCAAAAGAAGUAGAUAGCUUAACCUUCGGGAGGGCGUUUACCACUUUGUGAUUCAUGACUGGGGUGAAGUCGUAACAAGGUAGGCGUAGUGCU
rnacentral:rRNA from 1 species